rnacentral:rRNA from 1 species
UGCAAGUCGAACGGAGAUUACAGGCGGAAGUUUUCGGAUGGAAGCUUGUAAACUUAGUGGCGGACGGGUGAGUAACACGUGAGCAACCUGCCUAUCAGAGGGGGAUAACGAUUGGAAACGAUCGCUAAUACCGCAUGACAUAGCGGAACCGCAUGGUUCUGUUACCAAAGAUUUUAUCGCUGAUAGAUGGGCUCGCGUCCGAUUAGAUAGUUGGUGGGGUAACGGCCUACCAAGUCGACGAUCGGUAGCCGGACUGAGAGGUCGAACGGCCACAUUGGGACUGAGACACGGCCCAGACUCCUACGGGAGGCAGCAGUGGGGGAUAUUGCACAAUGGGGGAAACCCUGAUGCAGCGACGCCGCGUGAGGGAAGACGGUCCUCUGGAUUGUAAACCUCUGUCUUCGGGGACGAAACGAGACGGUACCCGAGGAGGAAGCCACGGCUAACUACGUGCCAGCAGCCGCGGUAAUACGUAGGUGGCAAGCGUUGUCCGGAAUUACUGGGUGUAAAGGGAGCGUAGGCGGGCAGGCAAGUCAGGCGUGAAAUAUAUCGGCUCAACCGGUAACGGCGCUUGAAACUGCAGGUCUUGAGUGAAGUAGAGGUUGGCGGAAUUCCUAGUGUAGCGGUGAAAUGCGUAGAUAUUAGGAGGAACACCAGUGGCGAAGGCGGCCAACUGGGCUUUUACUGACGCUGAGGCUCGAAAGUGUGGGGAGCAA